GCAGUCGAACGAUGAAGCCCAGCUUGCUGGGUGGAUUAGUGGCGAACGGGUGAGUAACACGUGAGCAACCUGCCCCUGACUCUGGGAUAAGCGCUGGAAACGGCGUCUAAUACUGGAUACGAACAAGAAUCGCAUGGUUACUUGUUGGAAAGAUUUUUCGGUUGGGGAUGGGCUCGCGGCCUAUCAGCUUGUUGGUGAGGUAAUGGCUCACCAAGGCGUCGACGGGUAGCCGGCCUGAGAGGGUGACCGGCCACACUGGGACUGAGACACGGCCCAGACUCCUACGGGAGGCAGCAGUGGGGAAUAUUGCACAAUGGGCGGAAGCCUGAUGCAGCAACGCCGCGUGAGGGAUGACGGCCUUCGGGUUGUAAACCUCUUUUAGCAGGGAAGAAGCGAGAGUGACGGUACCUGCAGAAAAAGCACCGGCUAACUACGUGCCAGCAGCCGCGGUAAUACGUAGGGUGCAAGCGUUAUCCGGAAUUAUUGGGCGUAAAGAGCUCGUAGGCGGUUUGUCGCGUCUGCUGUGAAAUCUGGGGGCUCAACCCCCAGCCUGCAGUGGGUACGGGCAGACUAGAGUGCGGUAGGGGAGAUUGGAAUUCCUGGUGUAGCGGUGGAAUGCGCAGAUAUCAGGAGGAACACCGAUGGCGAAGGCAGAUCUCUGGGCCGUAACUGACGCUGAGGAGCGAAAGGGUGGGGAGCAAACAGGCUUAGAUACCCUGGUAGUCCACCCCGUAAACGUUGGGAACUAGUUGUGGGGUCCAUUCCACGGAUUCCGUGACGCAGCUAACGCAUUAAGUUCCCCGCCUGGGGAGUACGGCCGCAAGGCUAAAACUCAAAGGAAUUGACGGGGACCCGCACAAGCGGCGGAGCAUGCGGAUUAAUUCGAUGCAACGCGAAGAACCUUACCAAGGCUUGACAUAUACGAGAACGGGCCAGAAAUGGUCAACUCUUUGGACACUCGUAAACAGGUGGUGCAUGGUUGUCGUCAGCUCGUGUCGUGAGAUGUUGGGUUAAGUCCCGCAACGAGCGCAACCCUCGUUCUAUGUUGCCAGCACGUAAUGGUGGGAACUCAUGGGAUACUGCCGGGGUCAACUCGGAGGAAGGUGGGGAUGACGUCAAAUCAUCAUGCCCCUUAUGUCUUGGGCUUCACGCAUGCUACAAUGGCCGGUACAAUGGGCUGCAAUACCGUGAGGUGGAGCGAAUCCCAAAAAGCCGGUCCCAGUUCGGAUUGAGGUCUGCAACUCGACCUCAUGAAGUCGGAGUCGCUAGUAAUCGCAGAUCAGCAACGCUGCGGUGAAUACGUUCCCGGGUCUUGUACACACCGCCCGUCAAGUCAUGAAAGUCGGUAACACCUGAAGCCGGUGGCCUAACCCCUUGUGGGAGGGAG
rnacentral:rRNA from 1 species